ACCUGGCUAGCUCAAUUGGUCAGAGCGUCUGACUUUUAGUAAUCUGAAAGAGUAAUCAGAAGGUUGGGAGUUCGAGCCUCCCGUCGGGUG